UUUGCUUUUUUGUUUCCUAUUUUUUCUUUAAGUGUGUCCUUUUUUAUUAUGAUUGGUGCAAUAUUCAUUCCAUCGAGCCACAAGUAAAACUAUCAGGGUUAAUAUAUGUUUUUCUUCAAUGGUUGAUGAAUGACAGGAUGGAUUCAUAAAUUCACUUGCAUUUGCAAAAUCAGGGCGCUUCUUUGUUGCAGGGGUUGGACAGGAACCUCGACUUGGUCGAUGGGGUCGUGUUCCGACAGCUAGAAAUGGGGUUGCUAUACAUCCAAUUAGACUAGCAGAAGAACGAGGCUUGCGAUCAUGAAAAUACUACCGAAAUCUUUUGGUUCCACUCUCCUCGCACCUUGCAGUAAUGUGAUGAUAAAGAAUUCCUCAAUUUUGUCUUGAGAGCUUUUGUACCAUGAGGCCUUGUCCAGGUUCAUCUUUGAGUAUCUAAUUUUUUUCAGUCAAUUUUUGAGGGUCUGUUUAACA